GAUGAACGCUGGCGGCGUGCCUAAUACAUGCAAGUCGAGCGAACGGACGAGAAGCUUGCUUCUCUGAUGUUAGCGGCGGACGGGUGAGUAACACGUGGAUAACCUACCUAUAAGACUGGGAUAACUUCGGGAAACCGGAGCUAAUACCGGAUGAUAUUUUGAACCGCAUGGUUCAAAAGUGAAAGACGGUCUUGCUGUCACUUAUAGAUGGAUCCGCGCUGCAUUAGCUAGUUGGUAAGGUAACGGCUUACCAAGGCAACGAUGCAUAGCCGACCUGAGAGGGUGAUCGGCCACACUGGAACUGAGACACGGUCCAGACUCCUACGGGAGGCAGCAGUAGGGAAUCUUCCGCAAUGGGCGAAAGCCUGACGGAGCAACGCCGCGUGAGUGAUGAAGGUCUUCGGAUCGUAAAACUCUGUUAUUAGGGAAGAACAUAUGUGUAAGUAACUGUGCACAUCUUGACGGUACCUAAUCAGAAAGCCACGGCUAACUACGUGCCAGCAGCCGCGGUAAUACGUAGGUGGCAAGCGUUAUCCGGAAUUAUUGGGCGUAAAGCGCGCGUAGGCGGUUUUUUAAGUCUGAUGUGAAAGCCCACGGCUCAACCGUGGAGGGUCAUUGGAAACUGGAAAACUUGAGUGCAGAAGAGGAAAGUGGAAUUCCAUGUGUAGCGGUGAAAUGCGCAGAGAUAUGGAGGAACACCAGUGGCGAAGGCGACUUUCUGGUCUGUAACUGACGCUGAUGUGCGAAAGCGUGGGGAUCAAACAGGAUUAGAUACCCUGGUAGUCCACGCCGUAAACGAUGAGUGCUGAGUGUUAGGGGGUUUCCGCCCCUUAGUGCUGCAGCUAACGCAUUAAGCACUCCGCCUGGGGAGUACGACCGCAAGGUUGAAACUCAAAGGAAUUGACGGGGACCCGCACAAGCGGUGGAGCAUGUGGUUUAAUUCGAAGCAACGCGAAGAACCUUACCAAAUCUUGACAUCCUUUGACAACUCUAGAGAUAGAGCCUUCCCCUUCGGGGGGGACAAAGUGACAGGUGGUGCAUGGUUGUCGUCAGCUCGUGUCGUGAGAUGUUGGGUUAAGUCCCGCAACGAGCGCAACCCUUAAGCUUAGUUGCCAUCAUUAAGUUGGGCACUCUAAGUUGACUGCCGGUGACAAACCGGAGGAAGGUGGGGAUGACGUCAAAUCAUCAUGCCCCUUAUGAUUUGGGCUACACACGUGCUACAAUGGACAAUACAAAGGGCAGCGAAACCGCGAGGUCAAGCAAAUCCCAUAAAGUUGUUCUCAGUUCGGAUUGUAGUCUGCAACUCGACUACAUGAAGCUGGAAUCGCUAGUAAUCGUAGAUCAGCAUGCUACGGUGAAUACGUUCCCGGAUCU
rnacentral:rRNA from 1 species